rnacentral:ncRNA from 12 species
AAGUGCAGAGGAUGGAACGGGCAGCCAUCGCCGGAUAGCCGCAAGAUUGAAUAGAGAUGCAGGAACUGUCAACCUACCUGUAAAA